CUCAUUGCUCUCGGCCCUCCCUUCAUAGAGACCCUAAUCAAGCUCAUUUCACUCACCUGUUUCCUGCAGUAUAUAAUCCAGUCUCACUCUCCAGUUCACUGCCAGAUUAUUAUCAGCUUGCCUGUGGUUUUCCAGCGUUUUCAUCCAUGUCUUGGUUUUGCCUCUUGAUCCCGACCUUGUUCUUGUCCCCUGGUUCAACGAUUCUCGCCCCAGCCCCUAACGGAUUAUACCUGCCAUCUGCUUUACCGGUAACGACUCACGCCUUGCUUCUUGGACUCCUGCUCUUUGCCUCACCCCUGAUCGGUACCUCCAGCCAUCUGACCACCUUGAUCUCGACUCAUGCCUGUACCACGGAUCAUCGGAACUUGCCUUUUUGGAAACGAACACUCCAACCAAACUAACGGUGAUGUCACCGUGCUGGAAUGCAAACCCUUCCAUCAAAGUUUCCGUCUGGAGUCCUUCAACUGGAAACAGAUCUGACGAGAAUCCGGUCCAAGCACUUCCUGGUUCAUUCACCUCUGCACAAUAAACUUUGUAAAACUU